rnacentral:SRP_RNA from 1 species
ACGGCGGUUCCCCGCACCGCAAAGUCGCAAACCCCGUCAGGCCCGGAAGGGAGCAGCGGUAGCGAUGGAAGCGGGUGCCGGGGGUUGGCUGUCGUGGAU